rnacentral:rRNA from 1 species
UACAGAGGGGGCUAGCGUUAUUCGGAAUUAUUGGGCGUAAAGGGCGCGUAGGCGCCAUGCGUGUCUUCCGUGAAAUCCCUCGGCUUAACUGAGGACGUGCGGAAGAAACUGCAAGGCUCGAGUCCGGGAGAGGGGGGUGGAAUUCCCAGUGUAGCGGUGAAAUGCGUAGAUAUUGGGAGGAACACCGGUGGCGAAGGCGGCCCCCUGGACCGGUACUGACGCUGAGGCGCGAAAGCGUGAGUAGCAAACGGG